UUCGGAAAUUUGAGUUCGGUUCUACGUAAUGAACAUUGAAAUGACAUUUAGUUUACAAGUGUGAACAAAUCUUAUGUACAGGUAACUAAACAAGGUGUAUAGAUGUGGACAAAUCUUAUGUGAAACUAGUGUAGAUUACAUUAAACCAAAUGUAAACAUGUUUACUGUACAAGGCAUUUGGUGUGAACACGGCCUUAGUUAGGUCUAGUUUAACCCGAAUAAUCCAGUCGUUAUAUUACGAUCACUUCGAUCACACCCUCGAGAAAAGUAGUAGAUAGAGGGCACUGAAUAAUUCGAGUUGGGUCUAGUUGAGUUUCGAAUGUUUGUGAAUGAACUAAUGAAAAUCGACGUCAUACUAAACUCCAAAAAUUAAACACAUAAAUGAACUAUACAAAUCCUUGAAUUAACUAAAAUUAAAAACAACCCACAAGAAUAAAAAAGACAGACAAGGAGCUCCCGACUUGGGACAGGCGUAAAAAUGCGGCAGGGUGAAACAUGUUUUGUGAGCCGUGAAUUCAACCCUCUCGCUAUACAUAAUUGUACCUCUGGCA
rnacentral:lncRNA from 1 species